UUCCUACGGGUGGCAGCAGUGGGGAAUAUUGGACAAUGGGCGAAAGCCUGAUCCAGCAAUACCGCGUGAAUGAUGAAGGCCUUAGGGUUGUAAAGUUCUUUUAGUUGGAAAGAUAAUGACGGUACCAACAGAAAAAGCCCCGGCUAACUCCGUGCCAGCAGCCGCGGUAAGACGGAGGGGGCUAGCGUUGUUCGGAAUUACUGGGCGUAAAGGGCGCGUAGGCGGAUUAGUAAGUUGGGAGUGAAAGCCCGAGGCUUGACCUCGGAACUGCUUUCAAAACUGCUAGUGUUGAGUGAAGUAGGGGAUGAUGGAAUUCCUAGUGUAGAGGUGAAAUUCUUAGAUAUUAGGAGGAACACCGGUGGCGAAGGCGGUCAUCUGGACUUCAACUGACGCUGAGGCGCGAAAGCGUGGGGAGCAAACAGGAUUAGAUACCCUUGUAGUCGU
rnacentral:rRNA from 1 species